rnacentral:rRNA from 1 species
CUACGGAACUCCUACGGGAGGCAGCAGUGGGGAAUAUUGCGCAAUGGGCGAAAGCCUGACGCAGCGACGCCGCGUGGGGGAUGACGGCCUUCGGGUUGUAAACCUCUUUCAGCAGGGACGAAGCGCAAGUGACGGUACCUGCAGAAGAAGCACCGGCCAACUACGUGCCAGCAGCCGCGGUAAUACGUAGGGUGCAAGCGUUGUCCGGAAUUAUUGGGCGUAAAGAGCUCGUAGGCGGUUUGUUGCGUCGGCUGUGAAAUCCCGAGGCUUAACCUCGGGUCUGCAGUCGAUACGAGCAAACUAGAGUGUUGCAGGGGAGACUGGAAUUCCUGGUGUAGCGGUGAAAUGCGCAGAUAUCAGGAGGAACACCGGUGGCGAAGGCGGGUCUCUGGGCAACAACUGACGCUGAGGAGCGAAAGCGUGGAGAGCGAACAGGAUUAGAUACCCCUGUAGUCCUCUUCGA